CAGUAGCCACGGGAAUACGGAGGGGGCUAGCGUUGUUCGGAAUUACUGGGCGUAAAGCGCACGUAGGCGGCUUGGUAAGUUAGAGGUGAAAGCCCGGAGCUCAACUUCGGAAUUGCCUUUAAGACUGCAUCGCUUGAAUCCGGGAGAGGUGAGUGGAAUUCCGAGUGUAGAGGUGAAAUUCGUAGAUAUUCGGAAGAACACCAGUGGCGAAGGCGGCUCACUGGACCGGCAUUGACGCUGAGGUGCGAAAGCGUGGGGAGCAAACAGGAUUAGAUACCCCGGUAGUCCCUGUCUCUUAUAC
rnacentral:rRNA from 1 species